GAAUGCGUGUGCCACUACUCGCUUAACGGCGUGGUUGGGUGUGCGCUUCCUAGCUUGUGGUAGUGAGUUAAAUCACUCCUCAUCAUUUACUUUGAAAAAAUUAGAGUGUUCAAAGCAGGCGUCUAGCCAUUGAAUAUUACAGCAUGGGAUAAUAGAAUAUGACGUUGGUCUUAUUUUGUUGGUUUCUAAGGCUGAUGUA
rnacentral:rRNA from 1 species